rnacentral:rRNA from 1 species
GAGUUUGAUCAUGGCUCAGGAUUAACGCUGGCGGCAUGCCUAAUACAUGCAAGUCGAACGGAGUAGCAAUACUUAGUGGCGAACGGGUGAGUAACACGUAUCUAAUCUACCAUUUAGUGGGGAAUAACUGUUGGAAACGACAGCUAAUACCGCAUAAUAUUGCUGGAUAAUUUCCAGUAAUGAAAGGAGCUUUCAAGCUCCGCUGAUUGAUGAGGAUGCGGCGCAUUAGCUAGUUGGUAGGGUAAUGGCCUACCAAGGCAAUGAUGCGUAGCCGAUCUGAGAGGAUGAACGGCCACAUUGGGACUGAGACACGGCCCAAACUUCUACGGAAGGCAGCAGUAGGGAAUUUUUCACAAUGGGCGAAAGCCUGAUGGAGCAAUGCCGCGUGACUGAUGAAGGUCUUCGGAUUGUAAAGGUCUGUUGUAAGGGAAGAAAUGGUAAAACAGGAAAUGGUUUUAUCUAUGACGGUACCUUACCAGAAAGCCACGGCUAACUAUGUGCCAGCAGCCGCGGUAAUACAUAGGUGGCAAGCGUUAUCCGGAUUUAUUGGGCGUAAAGGGUGCGUAGACGGUUUUGCAAGUCUGAGGUUAAAUUUAGGAGCUCAACUCCUAAUCGCCUUGGAAACUACAAGACUAGAGUAUAGGAGAGGUUAGUGGAAUUCCAUGUGUAGCGGUGGAAUGUGUAGAUAUAUGGAGGGAACA